rnacentral:rRNA from 1 species
AACGUAGGUGGCGAGCGUUAUCCGGAAUUACUGGGCGUAAAGCGUGUGCAGGCGGGCUAGCAAGUGGUGUAUGAAAGCUCCCGGCUCAACCGGGAAGGGUUAUGCCAGACUGCUAGUCUUGAGUGCGAGAGAGGAGCGUGGAAUUCCGGGUGUAGUGGUGAAAUGCGUAGAGAUCCGGAGGAACACCAGUGGCGAAGGCGACUACCUGGCCUGUUCUUGACGCUGAGGCGCGAAAGCUAGGGGAGCAAACGGG